UACGUAGGGUGCGAGCGUUGUCCGGAAUUAUUGGGCGUAAAGGGCUCGUAGGCGGUCCAUCGCGUCGGGAGUGAAAAGCUGGGGCUUAACCCCAGUCCUGCUUUCGAUACGGGUGGACUAGAGGUAGGCAGGGGAGAAUGGAAUUCCUGGUGUAGCGGUGAAGUGCGCAGAUAUCAGGAGGAACACCGGUGGCGAAGGCGGUUCUCUGGGCCUUACCUGACGCUGAGGAGCGAAAGCAUGGGGAGCAAACAGG
rnacentral:rRNA from 1 species